CCUACGGGUGGCUGCAGUGAGGAAUAUUGGUCAAUGGACGCAAGUCUGACCCAGCCAUGCCGCGUGCAUGAAGAAGGCCCUAUGAUUUGUAAACUGCUUUUGUCCGAGCGAUGAGCAGAAUACGGUCCCUCUUGAAUACGCCACGGCUAACUACGUGACAGCAGCCGCGGUGAUACGUAGGUGGCAAGCGUUGUCCGGCUUUACGGGGUGUAAAGGGCGUGUAGUCGGGCUGACAAGACAGAUGUGAAAUCCGGGGGCGCAACCCCCGAACUGCAUUUGAAACUAUUGGUCUUGAGUAACGGAGAGGCAGGCGGAAUUCCUAGUGUAGAGGUGAAAUGCAUAGAUA
rnacentral:rRNA from 1 species